rnacentral:rRNA from 1 species
GAUCUUGUAAACAAGGCGUGGUCGGCUUUCGGUGUAAUGGAUAAUCUGGGACAAGUCAGUGUUGCCUUGCAAUCAACUAUGUCAUCACUACGGUCAUGGAGUAACCGAAGGUUUGGGAAUGUUACAAGGGAAAUCAAGAAAUCACGCAGCCAGCUUGAAGAACUGAUGCGAAUGAAUGCUGAUAGACAUGAAAUAAGGAAGGUGUCUGACAAACUAAAUGAGCUGAUGUACAAAGAGGAGAUGCUAUGGUUGCAACGCUCACGUAUCAUGUGGCUGAAAGAGGGAGAUAGGAACACGAAGUUUUUCCAGAGUAAGGCUGUAUGGCGUGCACGGAAAAACAGAAUUAAAGAGUUGCAUGAUGCUGAUGGGAAUGUCUAUACAGAUACUGCUACUAUGAGUAAUAUGGCUACAUCUUAUUUUAAGAAAAUAUUCACAGCAGCUCCGUCCCUAGAGGCUUCGGGGGUGGUGGAUCUGGUUCAUAUGGUGAUAACAGACAACGAUAAUGAUAAGCUCUGUGCUGAAUUCACUAACCAGGAGAUCUCGGAUGCUCUAUUCCAGAUUGGGCCCUUAAAGGCGCCGGGCCCAGAUGGGUUCCCAGCUAGAUUUUUUCAGCGAAAC